CAUGAAGAUCCUUCAGCUUCAGCUCUAUGUAUUAAUCUGUUGUCAGUAUGCAGUGUCAGAUCUAUUAACUGAUCUGGGAUCAAAUGUGAUCAUAAACUGUGAUCUUGAUGAAAAUGAGGUUUAUUGGAUUUUACUGAAAACAGCAGAUCCUCCAACAGUCAUUCUACGAACAACAUCAGUUCCAACAUCACCUUUUUACCCUAAUAAAACAUUCAGAAAGAAAUAUUCAGUGCAGUUUAAACAUGGUCUGGUUAUUAAUAAUGUGACUGCAGAUGAAUUAGGAGUUUAUUACUGUAUGAACACAGAAACACCUCCAAAACUCAGCAACAUCACCAGAAUAUACUUCAACGAAUCAGCUCAACUAACUGAG